UACGAAGGGGGCGAGCGUUGUUCGGAAUCACUGGGCGUAAAGGGCGCGUAGGCGGCCCUGGCAGUCGGUGGUGAAAGCCCGUGGCUCAACGUGCGGGUCGGCCACCGAUACUCCAGGGCUCGAGUUUGGUAGAGGCAGAUGGAAUUCCGGGUGUAGCGGUGGAAUGCGUAGAGAUCCGGAAGAACACCGGUGGCGAAGGCGGUCUGCUGGGCCAAGACUGACGCUGAGG
rnacentral:rRNA from 1 species